rnacentral:rRNA from 1 species
GUCGAACGGUAACAGGAAGAAGCUUGCUUCUUUGCUGACGAGUGGCGGACGGGUGAGUAAUGUCUGGGAAACUGCCUGAUGGAGGGGGAUAACUACUGGAAACGGUAGCUAAUACCGCAUAACGUCGCAAGAUCAAAGAGGGGGACCUUCGGGCCUCUUGCCAUCGGAUGUGCCCAGAUGGGAUUAGCUAGUAGGUGGGGUAACGGCUCACCUAGGCGACGAUCCCUAGCUGGUCUGAGAGGAUGACCAGCCACACUGGGACUGAGACACGGCCCAGACUCCUACGGGAGGCAGCAGUAGGGAAUCUUCGGCAAUGGACGAAAGUCUGACCGAGCAACGCCGCGUGAGUGAAGAAGGUUUUCGGAUCGUAAAACUCUGUUGUUAGAGAAGAACAAGGACGUUAGUAACUGAACGUCCCCUGACGGUAUCUAACCAGAAAGCCACGGCUAACUACGUGCCAGCAGCCGCGGUAAUACGUAGGUGGCAAGCGUUGUCCGGAUUUAUUGGGCGUAAAGCGAGCGCAGGCGGUUUCUUAAGUCUGAUGUGAAAGCCCCCGGCUCAACCGGGGAGGGUCAUUGGAAACUGGGAGACUUGAGUGCAGAAGAGGAGAGUGGAAUUCCAUGUGUAGCGGUGAAAUGCGUAGAUAUAUGGAGGAACACCAGUGGCGAAGGCGGCUCUCUGGUCUGUAACUGACGCUGAG